rnacentral:rRNA from 1 species
CCUACGGGUGGCAGCAGUGGGGAAUAUUGGACAAUGGGGGGAACCCUGAUCCAGCGACGCCGCGUGAGUGAAGAAGUAUUUCGGUAUGUAAAGCUCUAUCAGCAGGGAAGAAAAUGACGGUACCUGACUAAGAAGCCCCGUCUAACUACGUGCCAGCAGCCGCGGUAAUACGGAGGGGGCAAGAGUUAUCCGGAUUUACUGGGUGUAAAGGGAGCGUAGACGGUGCAGCAAGUCUGUUGUGAAAGGUCGGGGCCCAACCCCGGGACUGCAGUGGAAACUGGUGAACUGGAGUACAGGAGAGGUAGGCGGAAUGCGUAGUGUAGCGGUGAAAUGCGUAGAUAUUAGGAAGAACACCGGUGGCGAAGGCAGCUUACUGGACUGUAACUGACGUUGAGGCUCGAAAGCGUGGGGAGCAAACAGGAUUAGAUACCCCUGUAGUC